rnacentral:rRNA from 1 species
GACAGAGGGUGCGAGCGUUGUUCGGAAUUAUUGGGCGUAAAGAGCUCGUAGGCGGUUUGUCGCGUCUGCCGUGAAAGUCCGGGGCUCAACUCCGGAUCUGCGGUGGGUACGGGCAGACUAGAGUGAUGUAGGGGAGACUGGAAUUCCUGGUGUAGCGGUGAAAUGCGCAGAUAUCAGGAGGAACACCGGUGGCGAAGGCGGGUCUCUGGGCCGAUACUGACGCUGAGGAGCGAAAGCGUGGGGAGCGAACAGG